UUCGAGUGGCGGACGGGUGAGUAACGCGUGGGUAACCUGCCUUACACAGGGGGAUAACACCUGGAAACAGGUGCUAAUACCGCAUAAGCGCACAGGGCUGCAUGGCCCGGUGUGAAAAACUCCGGUGGUGUAAGAUGGACCCGCGUCUGAUUAGCUUGUUGGCGGGGUAGGGGCCCACCAAGGCGACGAUCAGUAGCCGGCCUGAGAGGGUGGACGGCCACAUUGGGACUGAGACACGGCCCAAACUCCUACGGAAGGCAGCAG
rnacentral:rRNA from 1 species